AAAGGCCCUCUUACAAUCAUUGUCCAUUGUUUUAUAAGUAUCUUCUUGCUAUGCUUCUCUUGUCUGUUCCUUUUUAUUAUUUAAGUACAAUAACUUGUAGAACCCCUAGUGCCAGAUUCAGUUUUAUAAAUUCUAUAUUUGUAAAGUGUACACAUUUUGUAAUACAAUGUAACACAUUGUGUUUAAAAUGAGUGCAAAAAAGGCGGUAUAAAAUAAAUUACACAAAUACUGAGCUAUAUUGUAUGCAAAAAUGAAAUUAUAUUAUUUUAUACUAAUACAAUUGCUCAGAGAAAGAGAUUUUGUCUAGCAAGUAAUACAAAAAAGAGCCAGCACCCUAUUUUACAGUAGGUUAGGGGUUAUUUUCUGCUUAUAAAUUUUUGUUUCAAUGCUAAACCCACCACUGGUGUGUGUGUGGCCAAAGAGCUCUAUUUUCAUGUCAUCCAACAAAUGCUUGGAGUUUGCUAAACGGCAUUGGCACUUGGAUUGGAACCAUUGCUAAGGUCAGAUGACAUGAAGAUAGAGCUUUUUGGCCAUGCACACCAGUGGUGGGUUUAGUGUCGAAAUAAUAAGGAUUCGUAAGCAGAAAAGAACCCCAUACCUACUGUAUAAUAUGGUGGUGGAUCUUUGGAUAUUGGAUAUUGGGCAAUUUUGCUUCCACUGGUCCUGGUGGAAGGUCAAUCCAGUAUGAGGACAUUUUAGCCAAAAACCUGGUUGCAAUAGGAUCUUCCAACAAGACAAUAACCCCAAGCACACAUCAAAAUCCACAAAGAAAUGGUUAAUUGACCAUCAACAUUUUGCAAUGGCCAUCUCAGUCUCCGGACUUAAACCCUACUGAAAACCUGUGGUUUGAAUUGAAAAGGGCACGCCAUAAGAUCUGAAAAGAUUCUGUAUGAUGGAAUGGUCUAAGAUCCCUCCCAAUGUGUUCUCCAAUAAAUCAUUUUAGAAAAUGGCUCAGUGCUGUUAUCCUUGCAAGGUGAUGUAUUGAUAACGGGUGGCAAUAAUUUUGACCCCUAUCUUUUUGAGAGGAAAAAACGUAUUGACUGUUAAAAUCGCUAUCUGCGCAAUUUAUUGGUAUAAAAUAAUAAUAUAAUUUUUAAAUGUUGGCAUAUAACAGCUCAGAAUUGGUAUUAUUUAUGGUAUACAAUAUUUUUUCCCCCAGUUGUCUUUAUCAAGGUGUGCCAAUAACUUUGGUCCUGACUGUAACCGUCGCAGAGUCAUGUCUCAAUUGUCUCAAGGCUUAAAAAUACAUCUUUAACCUGUCUCGUCCCCUUUAUCUACAGUGAUUUGAAGUGGAUUUAACAAGUGACCUCAAUAGGGGAUCAUGGCUUUCACCUGGUCAGUCUGUCAUGGAAAGAGCAGGUGUUCCUUAUGUUUUGUACAGUCAGUGUAUGUCAGGUUUUCUGUUAGGAAACUGUGGCACCGGACAACUUGACCAGUAAGAUUUUAACAGUGCUCAAAAUCACAUUUAGAUGUAAUUCAUCUUAACAGAAUAGAAUUAUGCCUGUAAAGUAGAAUGAUGUUCUUAUACCAACAUGACAGGUACUUAUAGAAAAGCAAAACAUUGCCCGUUGUGUGUUCAUCCCUGCUAUAAAUCACUUUAUAGUAGCAGGUUAGGAUAAUUCAUGUAGCAGGUUAGGAAAAUUAGGUUAAGGUUAGCUAAAAGGCCAUUUAAAUGUAUUUAUUUUCUAAACUUUUGACGUUAAUUUGACAAACGCUGGGAUCCCUUCUAGCCAUUACGGCUGUCCCACUCUCCAUUCCAUCUGCGAUUCAGCACCACAAGCAGUUGAAAGAAGACACUCUAGGCAGCCACAAAAUGAAUACGUUAUUAAACUGAUGUUGCGCAAUCAAAUUCAAUAUGUACAUAAACGAAAUUCGUUAAGGCUGGUUCAUUGAGAGAAAGCUUAUUUUACAAUGCUCCUAUGAAACAAGGCCCAUGCCAUGCAUUUAUGAAAUCACUAGUUUGCAACGCUCAAAUUCUGUCACUCUUUUUACAGCUCUACUGGAUGAUAUUAAUAAAUGGUAUAUUUACUGUAAUUUGAACUAUCGUGGGGUUGUGUAGUCUACCACGGUAUGAAUCAUAAUACCCAUAAAACCUAUCGGCAAACACGGAAAUGGUUCCAAUUUUUUUCCCACCAUUCCAUUUAUCCAUUGUGGAUUUUAGAAACACCUCAAAUAAGGGCUAUGUUUCGUGGAGACUUACCCUGGCGUGGCGUUUUGAUAACCAUUUAAGUCUCCAGGACAAGGUGACUUUUUUUAUCAACAUAUUUGCCUGUAUUCAAUGUGGCUGUAAUAGAGAACUACAAAUUCCUGUCUCAAGCUUCAAGUCACUCACCAGGGCCAUGAUGAUCUAGGCGAGACUGCCGAAUCGAGGCAAAGACACAAGAUGACCAUGAUUUGAAUGCUGCAACUGAGACGUAAUGACGUCGAGGGACAUACGCAGAGACCCCGAGUAUGACUGGACAUGGGCCGGAUAUUUGUGACCACUACCUCCAAGUGGUGCAGAAGCACACCAGCACCCCAUUUUAUUUUUAUUCCAUGGCCAAACAGGUCUCUAGCUACCCCUUAUUCCACACUGUCUUUUAUACCCCAUGGUCCUUCAACUUCAGACACUUUAUAACUCUCUACCCUACCGUCACCCAUUCCCCCUAUGCUGCUUCCUUCACUUGUUCUUCUCCUGAUUUGAUAACAUCUAGACUCAGUAACACAUUUAAAAGUGUUGUGGUGUACUGUUUUUGCUACCGUUUUUUUCACCUGUGUAAUGCUGCUUAUUCUUGGGUUCAGACUGAAUGCAGUGGUAAAUGUGCUGCUCACAAUUGACAGAAGCAACAUUGACAAGAAGGGUGUUGAAAUGGCUGCUAACUUGUUUUGAGUCUUAAGUGCUUAUCUCAUUUUACAUUUUUAUAUUUUUACAUUUUAGUAAUUUAGCUGACGAUCUUACCCAGAGCGACUUAGUAGUGAGUGCAUACAUAGUAAUUUAUAUAACACCUACCUUACGCAUCUAGUUUUUCCAAUUGUAACCCACCCACCAAAAUCACAAUAUGCUGCUUUACAUGUUGGAUUAUUUGUGCUGGCCUAAUUCCUAAAAUGGGAAACAUAGAAGAAUCUGUUCGCUCUCAGAUAGUAAUCAUAGUUCAUAUGGUGCUCUUGGAUGUCCCAGGUGUGUGGCAUUGAUGAAUAAAUCAUUUCAUGUUUACUUAACAUAACAUAUACAAAUAUGAAUGUAUGUAUGAAAGGGAUAUGUAUGCAUUGUUUACUAUUUUGAUUUAUUUAAAACAAUGUGAUUGUUGGAGUUUAGAUGUCUGUGAUUCAUGGGUGACACUAUGCAUUUUUGUCAAAUAAAUAUGUUUAUUCAUUCAUGA